rnacentral:rRNA from 1 species
AACUCCAAUAGCGUAUAUUAAAGCUGUUGCAGUUAAAAAGCUCGUAGUUGGAUUUCUAGUGGGAGUAAUCGGUCCGGUACUCAUGUGUUGGUACUCGUAUUAUCUCCAGCCAUCCUUGGGUGGAGUCUGUUUGUCAUUAAGUUGUCGAGCAGGUGAUGCCCAUCGUUUACUGUGAAAAAAUUAGAGUGUUCAAAGCAGGCUUAGGCCGUUGAAUAUAUUAGCAUGGAAUAAUAAGAUAGGACCUUGGUACUAUUUUGUUGGUUUGUGCACCGGGUUAAUGAUUAAUAGGGACAGUUGGGGGUAUUUGUAUUCCGUUGUCAGAGGUGAAAUUCUUGGAUUUACGGAAGACAAACUACUGCGAAAGUAUUUACCAAGGAUGUUUUCA